ACUCAGCUGAUGAGUCCCAAAUAGGACAUAAUGCGCGUCCUAAAA
rnacentral:hammerhead_ribozyme from 1 species